GGGGGGGGGGGGGGGGGGGGGGGGGGGGGGGGGGGAGGGGGGGGGGGGGGGGGGCGUGCUCUGCGUGGGUGGGUUGCGGACGGGUGGGUGACGCGGGGGUGACCUGCCUUGGAGCGGGGGAGGACCAUUGGAAACGAUCGGUAAUCCCGCAUCACAAGGGAUGGCACCUGUCAUUUAUUUGAAAGGGGCAAUGGCUCCACUCCAAGGUGGACCUGCGUUGUAUUAGCUAGUAGGUGAGGUACUGGCUCACCUAGGCCACGAUACCUAGCCGACCUGAUAGGGUGAGCGGCCACACUGGGACUGAGACACGGCCCAGACUCCUACGGGAGGCAGCAGUAGGGAAUCUUCGGCAAUGGGGGCAACCCUGACCGAGCAACGCCGCGUGAGUGAAGAAGGUUUGCGGAUCGUAAAGCUCUGUUGUAAGUCAAGAACGGGUGUGAGAGUGGAAAGUUCACACUGUGACGGUAGCUUACCAGAAAGGGACGGCUAACUACGUG
rnacentral:rRNA from 1 species